rnacentral:lncRNA from 1 species
AAGCGGAAAAUGUUUCAAGGGGACCCAAAAAUGUGACGGACCUGGCUGGGAUUUGUUUAUUGUGCCCUGACUAUUGCUCAGUGAAGUUGUAGGUGCUCUUUGAAAGGAUUCAUGCUGCAAUAACCAGCCUGGUUCCUUCACACAAGGUUCAGGGCAGAAGAAUAGGCCUUUCUUCCUCCGAUUGUUUUCCAUUCUCAAUGUUGCCGGCUGUAAUGAAGGCCUGAGGUUUGCAGUGCCAAUGGGAAGCACAUGUCAAGAUUUAGAGGGCAAGUGGAGAUCUGCACAGAUGGCUCAGCACUUGUUGGACUGACCUCAGAUGCUGUCCAGAUGCAGCCCAUGGUCCAGCGAUGCUAUGGCUGUCAGAGGAGCUUCAGAGCCGCUGAAGGAGCCCUGAUAGAUUAAGGUGGACCUUCUGUUUGCCUCCUUUGCCAUUGUGCUCCAGAAAUGAAGGAAUAUUAUCUCCCUGAAGACUGGAGAAUGAAGAGCGGAGGCGUUAAUGACAUUGGGUGGGUUUGGGACACUGGCAGGGGCAGAGGAGAGGGACACGAUGGAUAAUGUCAUUAUUUUGUAGUCUCAUUCGUGACCUGGAGGAUGUAAACAAUUACGCUGGUGAUAGAGGAGGGGCAAACAGGGCAGAAACAAAGCUUUAGCUCUUUAAAGUUAACUGGGUGUGUGAAUCUAAUGUAUCAUCUAAAAUUGUUUUUGGGAAUGAGACUAUUUGGACCUUUUUAAGCUUGAUUUGAACUUUUAUCACAAUUAGAAAUUUUUUUUAUUUGAUUUAUUUAUUUUUAAUAAAAGCAUUUUUUUCAGCAUCAUUACUUUAGGUUUUUUUUUAGUUUCACAAUCCUUUAGAAACAUACCAACCUAGUAAACACACAGAACAUUCCUCUAACGUUACCACAUGGUUUCUAUUUAGUAAUUUUUAUUUUUAUUUUUUGUGAACUAUUGAUGGUUCAAUAAUUCAUAAACCAUAAUUCAUUUUUGGUUGUGUAAUCAUUCUUUCCAGG